rnacentral:rRNA from 1 species
UACGUAGGGUGCGAGCGUUGUCCGGAAUUAUUGGGCGGAAAGAGCUCGUAGGCGGUUUGUUGCGUCUAUCGUGAAAACCUGCAGCUUAACUGUGGGCUUGCGGUGGAUACGGGCAGACUUGAGUUCGGUAGGGGAGACUGGAAUUCCUGGUGUAGCGGUGAAAUGCGCAGAUAUCAGGAGGAACACCGGUGGCGAAGGCGGGUCUCUGGGCCGAUACUGACGCUGAGGAGCGAAAGCGUGGGGAGCGAACAGG